GUUCUAGAGCUUUCCUGAACGCGGCCGAUCUCGUCUGAUCUCGGAAGCUAAGCAGGGUCGGGCCUGGUUAGUACUUGGAUGGGAGCUCCACUUCUUUUGAGUC
rnacentral:rRNA from 1 species